AGUAUAAUUUAAAGUAGGGCCUGCCCACUGAAUUAUUGAAGGGCCGCAGUAUUUUGACUGUGCAAAGGUAGCAUAAUCAUUAGUUUUUUAAUUGAAAACUCGUAUGAAUGGUUUGAUGAAAAAACGACUUUCUUUAUUUAAAUUUUAAAAAAAUUUAUUUUUAAGUUAAAAAGCUUAAAUAUUUUUAAUAGACGAGAAGACCCUAUAGAGUUUAAUUUUUAUUAGUUAAUAAAUUUUUAGAAUUAAAAAAUUUUUUUAUUAAGAAAAAUUUGAUUGGGGUGAUUAUAAAAUUAAAAAAACUUUUAUUUUUAUGAAACAUUAAUUUAUGAAUUUAUGAUCCA
rnacentral:rRNA from 1 species